UAUUCCCGCUAUUGUCGUUAAAUUUAUCAUGGCUGUUGGUGAGAAUUUUUACAACUUCUCAACUUCCUUCUUUCCGUGAUGGGUUAAAAGUCACUCAAAAGGUUCUUUGGUUAUUUCUACGCCUUGUGUGGCAAGCUUUUGUUUUAUGUUGAAGGCUUUGUCUUGAUAGCAUGGAUACAAGCGUGCUUAUCGCUACACUAGCUGGCAUCACGAGCUUCACCGAUUGAAAUAUGUAUGCUGUGGGUGGCUGUGAUGAGAGUAACUUCUAACUCAACAGUGUGGAACAUUACUACCCAUCAACAAACACUUGGUCAUUUACAGCACCCAUGACCACUUGUUGCAGCAGUCUGUGUGUGUCAAGUUGCCGUGUGCUGUAUGUGAUUGGUGGAGUGAGCUAUGUUGGAAUGUUGCUUAACACUAGAGAGUAUCUUGACCCCAUGACAAGCACAUAGAGCAGUGCUUUCAAUAAGAUUUGAAGAAGGUGGCUACCUUGGUAAAGCACCUGCUGGAGAAUAAUAAUACCCAUUGGUGCUCCAGCAGGUGCCAGGUCUUAUUGAAAGCACUGAUGGAGGGCAAUUGCCCUUAUACAUUACAAGCAAGCGAGUGCAUCAGGAGCAGCAACAAAUGGGAAGAUCUAUGUCAUUGGUGGCUGGGAUGGUUCUGUUCAUCUAAACAGUGGUGAGGUGUAUGACCCUGAUAUAGACCGGUGGUCCAUGAUUGAACCUGCUAGCACUGCCAGAUGGGAUGGUGGGAUAGCUGUAGAGAGUGACAAAAUCUACUUUGUUGGGGGAUGUAACAGGAAUGCAUUUUGCACUUUGGAAAUAGAGUGCUAUGACCCUGAGAAAGACAAUUGGAGUAAGGUAGCAUCCCUGCCAGUUGUGAUGCAUGGAAUUCGGUGUUGUACCAUUCAGCUUCCGCACAAGGCAUGCACAGAAGUAGAUAUACAUGAAGGAUAUGAUAUAUUCAUUGAGGUGAAUUGUUAUCUCAGCAAUGACAAUUAGAUUGGCCGGCAGAAAAUGAAUAAUUUUGUUGUAUAAUCAGGUAAGGGUAGGCAAGUGAUUGUUAUGUGCUAGAGAAGGGGCCCCUUCACUUUUCUCCUCGCUGUCCCUGUCCCUGAAAAGCUGGAUAUGCCCUUGAUAACUGUGUAAGAGAAUAAUUUUUUCAUUUAAUUUCCAAUUGAGAAAAAAAGAAGUAAUGCAGAUAGUUUUAUGAAGGCAGCCCUGGUAAAAAUUUAA